rnacentral:rRNA from 1 species
UACGUAGGGGGCGAGCGUUGUCCGGAUUUAUUGGGCGUAAAGAGCGUGUAGGCGGCCAGGUAGGUCUGCUGUGAAAACUCGAGGCUCAACCUCGAGACGUCGGCGGAAACCAUCUGGCUAGAGUCCGGAAGAGGAGAGUGGAAUUCCUGGUGUAGCGGUGAAAUGCGCAGAUAUCGGGAGGAACACCAAUUGCGAAGGCAGCUCGCUGGGACGUAACUGACGCUGAGACGCGAAAGCGUGGGGAGCAAACAGG